rnacentral:rRNA from 1 species
GACGAACGCUGGCGGCGUGCCUAAUACAUGCAAGUCGAACGCAGUGGGGACGGGUGAGUAACACGUGGGUAACCUCCCAUCAGAGGGGAUAACACUUGGAAACAGGUGCUAAACCGAUACUGAUGGAUGGACCCGCGGUGCAUUAGCUAGUUGGUGAGGUAACGGCUCACCAAGGCCACGAUGCAUAGCCGAGCCGGGAGGGUGGUCGGCCACACCGGGACUGGAAAACGGCCCAAACUCCUAAGGGGGGGAGCCGGAGGGGAACUUCGGCAAUGGGGGGAAACCUGACCGAGCAAAGCCGCGUGAGUGAAGAAGGGUUUUGGAUCGUAAAGCUUUGUUGUGAAGGAAGCGGUACUUAACCAGAAAGGGACGGCUAACUACGUGCCAGCAGCCGCGGUAAUAC